UAGGUUGAAGUGGUAAAAGUCGCUGCCGAUGGAGUUCCAGCUGCCAGAGUCUUCGAUAAGAAAGAGGCGUCUGAGUAAACAGAAGUGAGAUCUUUCUCUUAUAUUAUAUAGGCUAUUUUGCCUUGAAAUCCCAUUCUAUCCAUCUUAUUCUUCUGUGUAAGUAAAGACUAGCAGGGCAUUCUCUUGCAUCAAUUCCUCUCUCAAUCACGAUGAAAUCUAAGAGCUUGCUCGAAGACAACCUUUACUUUUUAGUAGUAACCUUUCCUAUCCUUUAGGCGGGGAUAGGUUCAUAGGAGGACUUAGUUACAUAGGAAGGAAAGGCUUAAACUAGAAGGGAUAAGAAAGGGAAUUACACUAUAUCUUGGCAAUGGCACUCCAACAAGCUCGGUAGGGAGAGAAAGAAGAGAAGGAGAAGAGGAAGUACGACGAAAAGGGUAUGAAAUAGGUUUCUUGUAGCGAUUGUGAUUGCUUAUUUGGUUGGGAUUACCAGCCUGGCCAAAGAAUAAGAUAAAAAGAAGAGUUCCCGCCUACGACUACAUGCCCAUUAAGAGAUAUACCUGGAGUCGAGCUAACUGCAUAGGCAGAGGGGAACUUUCCUAAAAAGCCUAAUAGUAAUUAACCGCAUUAGAAACAACGAAUCACACUCUGAAAUGAGGUUCCCUCCCAAUAGAUGUCAGGAGGGAGCAAGGCGUGAUUGCUCUGUCAUCCUCCGACCGCCCCCCUUUCCACCUCGAAGUAGUGGUGUUGGUGUGUCUCGUACCAAUCAUUCCGGUCAAUCCCUUUCCUGAACCAUAGGUAAGGGAUGACAGGAGAUGGCCCCUAUAGCAAAAUAAGCCAGCCCCUCAUUUGAGAGAGUAAAUAGAAUAGUAUCGGGCUUAUGACAGUCUGACUUUUGAACGACUUAGCAACUACUAAGCUCCCGCCCACCCCCAACUAAUUAGGGUAAAGUGUUCAUUUAUACCUUCAACAGCACCGAGAUAUUGGCCCAUGACCAUGUUUACUUCAUCUUCAAGAGAAAGCAUCCUGGCUCUCAGGGCCUCAGGCAAGCCUGGAUCCUUUCCUACUUCCUUAGUGAUUCCAAGAAGAUGCUUCAACCCUGUUAAGUUUUAGCUGGCUAUCACGGUCUAAUAAAGAUUUCCAAUUUUGUUUUGGAAUAUUUUCAUUCGGGAUUAGAACGACCUAUAUUGUAAGGGAGGAGAGAAGGUAAACCAGGUUCCUUUGGUCGCCUUGCCCGUCUAGUCGAGUAGCUUUUGCUCCUUCCUACUUACUUUAUUAUAAUAUAAGCUUAAGCUGCUACGUGGCCUAUUGGGAGCUUUUUAGUCAUAGUGGGAGCUUUCGAAAAUCACUUAGCAGGUCAAGAUCAUAGGAAGAGGGAAGAACAAGGGGGAAGAUCUUAUUUAAAAGAAGACGAUUCCAAAAGAAAGUCAAAACGGGGAAUAGGAUGCCUUAAAGGUAAAUAAGAAAGAUCCUAAAUAAAAAAGAAAAUAGCUAUGAAACCGAUUACAAAAAUACCAGUUAUAGUACCUAUUAUCCAAAGAGGAAUCCUUCCAGUAGUAUCGGCCAUUUACCCCACUUCCCUCCAGAUUUCAUAAAGUGGUCAUGAUUGAGACACAAACAGCCUUGGAUAAUUGAAUUAUGAGAUGCUUCCGAACGAGCUAAGAGAAUCUUAUUUAUUCUCUUUCGUUUUGUUAAUUGAAGAAAUAAUUGGAAAAUCAAAAAGCAAGUACAAAAAUGAGUAAUAACCCCCUGGUACGAUGAAAUUCAACAUUUUGUUCGUUCGGGUUUGUCGGUGUUGAUUGUGUCGUAGCUCUAUAAUCCGGAUGUUCUUUAUCAUUGGAUGAACUAUUGAUAUUGAUCCCUAAAAAAAGAUGGUAGGUACAGCUAGGCCGUGAACAACCAACCAUCGUACUGUAAAAAUUGGAUAGGUUCGAUCUAUAGUCAUUAGGGCCUCCUAAAACGAUCGACUAAAUUCAUCGAGUUGUUCCAAAGGAUCAAAAUGGUCAAUUAUUAAUGAAAUUACUUGUCGGCUCUCUGUAAAAUACUCGUUUGGCUGAGGGCUUCCAAAUACAUCGUAAGGUAAAUCAGUGCUGACAAAUAACCAACCCGCAAUGAAUAGGGAAGGUAUAGUAAUACUAUGAAUGACCCAGUAUCGAAUACUGGUAAUAAUAUUAGCAAAUGAACGUUCUCCUGUGCUUCUAGACAUGCUGAGCUCCACAUAUUCUUGUACAGUCAAAGAGGAUCGAUUCCGUAAAAGAUGAGAUCAGUAAAUGACAAUUCAUUGAAAUUUAAUCUUUGUGAGAUCGUCGAUAUUGUACCGAGGGCGUCUUUAGAGUAUACCGAAUCAGUAUAACUAUCCUUCUUCUGACACAGCAACGCAAUUUGAAUUAGUAUCAAAAGUAAGUACUAAAAUAAUUUCUUUUUUCCUUUACUUGUUGAUGUAAAACCAUCUUCCAUUCAAUAGAAAAUUCUUUCAAUUCAACGAAAGAGAUUCUCAUAUUCC
rnacentral:lncRNA from 1 species